rnacentral:rRNA from 1 species
UACGUAGGGGGCGAGCGUUGUCCGGAAUCAUUGGGCGUAAAGAGCGUGUAGGCGGUUCGGUAAGUCGGCUGUGAAAGUCCAGGGCUCAACCCUGGGAUGCCGGUCGAUACUGCCGGACUAGAGUUCGGAAGAGGCGAGUGGAAGUUCCCGGUGAUAGCGGUGAAAUGACGCAGAUAUCGGGAGGAACACCUAUGGCGAAGGCAGCUCGCUGGGACGUUACUGACGCUGAGACGCGAAAGCGUGGGGAGCAAACAGG